UUUUUUUUACAUAUUUGAUAAUUCUUAUAGAAAAAAGGGAAAAAAGUUUGGCGAUCGAUUUGGUGGAUGUAAUCACACAAUUAACCGACAAGAAUAGUGACUGGAUUCAACAUGUUUUGAAAUUAAUAAUUAACAUUCUUUGCCGUUAUGAAACAAUUACCCGCCCAGCCACGCUAUAAAGGAUAUUAACCACAAGGACCAACAAUAUAUAGUUCUAAGUUGCCCACAUCUACCAUGUAACAAAAUUAAAUCAAAGUAAUGUCGUUUUGCAAGGUUCCAUACUUCCAUAUGCUUUUCACAUAAACAUUUGUUUAGCUCUAUCUUCCUUUGAUCCAUCUCUCUCAGUUAUGUCGUGAGGUCUCGGCAGCGGGAUCGGCCACCAAGCAGCACUUGGGAACUUGGGCGCCUUCUUCGCCAACGAGUUCCCGAUCGAGGUCCUGUUCCUUCCGUCCUCCCUCCGUGCGUCUCCCGUCUUCGUCCGUCCCCCUCCGCCGCGCGCGCCCACUUUCGCGCAUCACCCGCGAGAGCUGACCCGGCCACCCCCACGCAGUA
rnacentral:lncRNA from 1 species